UCGUCAAUAGCACGGAGGCCAAAUUUCUUACACUGUUGGUGGCGUUGGUGCCAACUGUUUAUGGAAUCCCAAAGAUGUAAGGUACAAAGAUAAAUUAGCUAGGGGAGAUGCUGUUCGUCAAUUAGCUGUGUCAUUUAACACAAGUGAAGGUGAAAUCCAAAGAAAGUUACAAGGUUUGAGAAACUAGCAUUGAGCAUGCUGGUGAAACUAGAAAAGAAAAAACAUCUAGAACAGGCUAAAGAACAGACGAAGUAUAUAUAAAAGCAAAUGGGUAUACUUCGAAUCCUUGAAAUUUUUAUCCACCGAGGCCAAUGUUGGUAGAAAAACAGUCAGAAAUCUAACUAUUAAAAGUACUACAGCACCAGCUCAGACUACUUAUAGCAGGACCAAUACA